AAAUGCAGACAAGAUAACAGCAACUAUACAACCCCUCUAUUUGUGUAUCUCUUAAAGGCUCUCAACAACCUGUAUAUGAGAACCCAUCACCUGUGUAUGAGAACCCAUCACCUGUGUAUGAGAACCCAUCACCUGUGUAUGAGAACCCAUCACCUGUGUAUGAGAACCCAUCACCUGUGUAUGAGAACCCAUCACCUGUGUAUGAGAACCCAUCACCUGUGCGUGACAAUUCACUACAAAAUCAAUCUCCACCUCUACCCCUGACAGACUUCAAGAGUACCUAUGAUACUAGGAUAAUGCAGUAAGAGGUCAGGAAGAGAUCUCCAUUCAACCACCAUUAUCCAGUUCCACAAUCAACACAAAGAAAACCUGCAUGAUAACACCCAG